rnacentral:sRNA from 1 species
UGCUUUCAUAAUAAAAACAUAAAACUUUAUUUCUUAAAAAACGCUUGUUUAAAAAGAAAUAAAGGAAGGUGGCAGGAGCAGUCCUCUGAGGGGGUCCAAGGAGGAAUCAGUGUUACUGUGGAAAGUAAUACCAGGCCUUGCUUCUGUUGACUUGAAGAUUACUGAGCUCCCAAUUCAUUAGUUAGGCCAGAGGUGUCCUGUUCAUGAAAAUUGCCAGGCUGGUGACAUGCAACAGGUGCAGACCUCUGCAGUGUGAGCCCUGGGAACACACUGAGAACUGCCAGCGUUUUGGCAGUGCUUCACAGUGCUCACAGCUGCUGUGUGUCAAGCAGGUGCUGCUCUAAUGCUUCAGUGUUCUGUGAUGUGAGGUCUGGCCCCGCUCUCUUCCUCAACACUCCAGGCUUUGACCAGCUACCAAAUACCUGGCCAGACUAUUGUCACGAGAGCUGUCAAAUGAAAUCCUGGGGCAGGAGUCAUCAGUCAUUUAGUGUGCUUCCAGAAGGAAUCAAAGGAGUAGCUGUUCAAGCAGGGGAAAGGAAUGAGAAAAGAAAAAACGUAGAGCAAGUCUGUUACUUAAGAAAAACACAGAACCAAUGUUACAACUAAGAAUCUCAGAGUCCUUGGCUGUGAGUCGGGUGUUUGGUGUUAUAUAGGGAUUUAUCAGUCACUGGUUCAGAAGAAUAUCGGGUAACCUCUGUGAAAUAAAUGAGGGGAGCGCAAGCCAGGAUGAGGCAGAAUUCGUAAUGAAUUCCCUCAUCACAUCUCUUGGCCAAGAAAAACAUGCACCUUCUCCAGAGACAGAAUUUGUCUUCCAUUCCAGGAGGUGGAGGAACACUUGAAGUAUAUGUAGUCCAGGCUUUCAGAUGAGCAGUUUCACUAGCAGUUUUUCGCAAUCUACUCAUAAACAAGUGAAAAGAGAAAUCGUGAGGUAACUGGAGUCUUUCUGUAUCAGGAAUAGCAUCUCUGUAAAAACAAGUUAGUCCCGUGCUUAAUCCCUGCCUCGAUACAGAGCUAUCCGUCUGGUGUGGAUAUAUUAAGCCAGCAUUCUCUUCCCGUCUCCCAGAAGGGCGGCUGGGUGUGACAGCGUAAAUGUGUGACAGUAUGUGAAAAUGUUUCUGUAAUCCUGAAGAUUUCAGUAGUGAUUAGAAAAGUUUUAGUCUUUGGUCAAUUUUCUUUGACUUGGAAAGCAUAAAGAAUGUUUGAACCUCUCAUUUCAGACUGACCUUGACUCUCCUCAUUUUAUUUUAUUUUAUUUUAUUUUAUUUUUUUGCCUUAGAUCAUCCAGCCCCUCUUAGAACUUGACCAAAAUAGAAGUAAAUUAAAGUUGUACAUUGGACACCUGACAGCCCUCUGCCAUGACCGAGACCCCCUGAUCCUCCGUGGACUCACUCCACCAGCUUCCUAUAACUUGGACGAUGACCAGGCGGCUUGGGAGAAUGAGCUGCAGAAGAUGACCCGGGGGCAGCUUCAGGAUGAGUUAGAGAAAGGCGAACGGGACAAUGCAGAACUGCAGGAGUUUGCCAACGCCAUUCUUCAGCAGAUAGCAGAUCAUUGUCCCGACAUCCUAGAGCAAGUGGUCAACGCCCUGGAAGAGUCCUCUUGACCCUGCUUUGUGGGGAAGCCUGAGGUAGUCACCCCAGGAGCUAAGAAAGGAGAACUACGAGGAACAGGCGCCCAGAACCUUCUUGGCACCAAACACUACAAACUUCAUCCCAACUUGCUCACUUGAAGAAGUGUGAUUCCAGCACAAUUUCUACAUCUGCUAUCUUACUCUGCCUUUCUGCUUUGAAUGUGAGCUCUACACUAACCUUCUUGAUGUCCAGGGUAGAUAAAAGGUCGAUUCUCUCUGAAGAACUGCCACCUGGUCAUCAGCAGUGGAGAACUGUGGGAGCUGGUGGCUCUGCCCUGACAGAGAGCCAUGGAGCAGAGGAACCUCUCACCUCCUGUCCUCCGACAUGAGAAUGAAACCAGGAAUGGACUUGGAGUUCAGCAGGCUGAGAGGAUGCCUCCAAUGGACCAGAGAGCUGAGUGUUCUAAUAUCGCAAUAGGUGCUUUCUCCUAAAAGGGUAAAAAACAAUCUCAAAAAGAUUAGAAAAAGAGAAGGGGGGAAGGGAAGAGAAAAUCGACUCUUCUUUUUACUGUCUCUUCUGCUUACUUUCCACAUGAGAUGCUUUGUACCGGGGAGCUGUGAGCAGGCCUCACGAUGGCUUGGGAGCACUCGUCCCCCAAGGUCUGAGUCUUCACCCAGCCCUGCCUGUCUGUCCCAGCCUUCCUCACUCUGUUCCUCAGCCAGUUAACAAGAAGAUGAUGAGGUGUUCUCCACCAGUCUCUCCUGUUUGAGGCUGUUGACCUUAUCAUGCUGAGGUGUUAGAUCAAAUAUCUCUAAUUGAAGAACAUAUGAGGUUGAAAGAGCACCAGCCAGCAACAUAGCGCGACCCUGUCUCUAC